CCUACGGGGGGCAGCAGUGGGGAAUAUUGGGCAAUGGGCGCAAGCCUGACCCAGCAACGCCGCGUGAAGGAAGAAGGCUUUCGGGUUGUAAACUUCUUUUCUGAGGGACGAAGAAAGUGACGGUACCUCAGGAAUAAGCCACGUCUAACUACGUGCCAGCAGCCGCGGUAAUACGUAGGUGGAAAGCGUUAUCCGUAUUUAUGGGGUGUAAAGGGCGUGUAGGCGGGAAAGCAAGUCAGAUGUGAAAACUCAGGGCUCAACCCUGGGCCUGCAUUUGAAACUGUUUUUCUGGAGUGCUGGAGAGGCAAUCGGAAUUCCGUGUGUAGCGGUGAAAUGCGUAGAUAUACGGAGGAAAACCAGUGGCGAAGGCGGAUUGCUGGACAGUAACUGACGCUGAGGCGCGAAAGCGUGGGGAGCAAACAGGAUUAGAUACCCUAGUAGUC
rnacentral:rRNA from 1 species